GUUUACGGCCAUCUCACUUUGAAAACACCGGUUCUCGUCCGAUCACCGAAGUUGAGCAAAGUCGAGCCUAGUUGGUGACCGCUUGGGAAACCUAGGUGCUGUAAAAA
rnacentral:rRNA from 1 species